GACGAACGCUGGCGGCGUGCCUAACACAUGCAAGUCGAACGAGGUCCAUCCUUCGGGAGAAGACCUAGUGGCGAACGGGUGAGUAACACGUGAAGAACCUGCCCCGAAGACCGGGAUAACCCUCCGAAAGGAGAGCUAAUACCGGAUACCCCCCACCGAACCGCAUGGUUUGGUGAGGAAAUGGAUUCCGCUUCGGGAGGGCUUCGCGGCCUAUCAGCUAGUUGGUGGGGUAACGGCCCACCAAGGCAUCGACGGGUAGCUGGUCUGAGAGGACGAUCAGCCACACUGGGACUGAGACACGGCCCAGACUCCUACGGGAGGCAGCAGUGGGGAAUCUUGCGCAAUGGGCGAAAGCCUGACGCAGCAACGCCGCGUGGGGGAUGAAGGCUCUCGGGUUGUAAACCCCUUUCAGCAGGGACGAAUCAAGACGGUACCUGCAGAAGAAGCCCCGGCUAACUACGUGCCAGCAGCCGCGGUAAU
rnacentral:rRNA from 1 species